GCUUUUUUAAUUGGUCCUCAACGUCGACUGUCAAGGAUGGAUACAUGGAUUGAUACUGGCGGACGAGGUUCUUGAAUCUGAAGGGGAUUCAUACAUGCCGUAAAUUUCAUGAAGGACUUGCCGGGAACAGAAUGAGUUUCCUGUAAGCCGUCAACGACCUGGUGAAAAUCAAACACUAAGGAGGGAAGACAAGUUCACAAAGACAAGUUCACAAAAAGUACAUAUAAAAUACAAACGAAUCAACGCAAUACGGACCAAGAUGAGCCCUAUCUGAGACAAUUAGUCUCUUCUCCCAGCCUUUCAAUCCUAAGGAGACAAGAAUGGGUAUUAAUACUUAUAAAAAUUAUCUAUACUAUACACUACACUCAAAGAACACUUGUUAGGCCAGGUAAAUGUAUGACCACCCCAUUACCUAGAGGAUCAGAAAGAAAAUACCAAAUAGGUGGCACCAGACAGACUAGUGCAAAUAUUUUCCAAGUAAUUAGUUUCAUUUGCUGUUUUUACCGAUGAGUGAG